UACGGAGGGUGCAAGCGUUAUCCGGAUUCACUGGGCUUAAAGGGUGCGUAGGUGGGUUGGUAAGUCAGUGGUGAAAUCCCCGAGCUUAACUUGGGAACUGCCAUUGAUACUAUCAGUCUUGAAUACCGUGGAGGUCGGCGGAAUAUGUCAUGUAGCGGUGAAAUGCUUAGAUAUGACAUAGAACACCAAUUGCGAAGGCAGCUGACUACGCGAGUAUUGACACUGAGGCACGAAAGCGUGGGGAGCAAACAGG
rnacentral:rRNA from 1 species